rnacentral:tRNA from 1 species
GCCUGUGUAGCUCAGUGGUAGAGUAACUGAUUCGUAAUCAGUAGGUCGGGAGUUCAAAUCUCUCCACAGGCU